AUGGGGAUGGGCGGUCGAGGUGUGGUUGGCGACAGGUGGUCGCAGCGCGUCCUCUGGAUGUGCGCCAUCGGCAGCGCCGUGAGCCUGUACUUUGUGGCGGUGGAGAGGCAGGCGCAGAACCGCGCGCGGGCGGUGUCCGAGGGCUUCAAGGGCCUGGACGGCGCAGGCGGAGGCGGCAGCCGUGGCGGGGAGGACGUGUAA
rnacentral:rRNA from 1 species